UAUAUAUAAGAGGGAAGCAGUCAAAUCCAUUUUGUCCGCCACUGAUUUCGGUCUCUCUCAGACAGAAAUCACAAUUCUAUUCUAACCAUUUGAAGACAAUCUUUGGGUUUUUUUUAUAGCCUUCCUUAUUUUCGGAAAAAUCUGGAAGCAAUAAGAACAACAACAACAACAACAACCUUUUUCCAGCAUCACACAACCAAAACAACAACAAGAAGAAUGUUAGCUAAACCAGUUUCUUUGCUUCAAGCCUGUUCCAUCUUGUUGUUAAUGCUGAUCAUUUUCCCAACACACCACCCGAACGCUGCCUCGUUGCCCUCCAGUCCAUGCAGCGAACAUCACAAGACAUCACUUGACAGUUGCCUGCACAUCCUCGACAUCAACGCGAGCCAAGCAGAAUCAGACGGAUCCUGUAGCAUCAAUGUGUCGAGCGACGCCGUGUCCGAACUCUCCCUCUGCCCGUGGACCAAGUACGUCCACACCGAUGUCAACCGCAUCCCAAAACAUAUCGACGCAGCAAAGUGUCGGUGCCAGAAGUGUGCCAUAAAAGAGUCGCUGAAUGUCUGUUCCCCCAUAUACAGGGUGAUGAACGUGCUCAGGUAUGAUACAGACCAGGGGUCCUAUGUGCACGCCUGGGAUAAAGUGCCGAUAGCCUGCACAUGCCACGCCCCCGCAAUACAUUAUGCCAAUGCACAAGAGCAAUGGCUUCAGACCUCGGAAUAAUUGUAACGGUAAUUAAAUAUUUAUAAUUAUUAAUGUCCAUGUGCCAGUAGAGAACAUGGGCGUUAUAUGAUGACAAUGAUGACGACAGCAAUGAUUACAAUGAUGACGAUGACGAUAAUGAUGAAGAUGACAACAGUUUUGGUGAUGUUGAUUACAAUUUUGAUGAUGAUGACAAAGGAUGAUGAUGACAAAUGAUGAUGAUGACAGCAGUAACAACAACAAUGAUGACGAUGACAAUAUUAGCGACAGUGAUGACAAUGAAAUGACAACAGCAGUAAUUAACACCAAAUAUAACAAUUAAACCAUUUUUAAUCUCUUCAUCUAAAUGGUGUCUGAUCAGCGAUUGUUAUAAAAAUGUCUUAUGUCUGUUCAUCCAUGCAGUUAUUACAAUAAUUAUAAUUAACCACUUCUUUGGUGAUUAAAUAUUUUUAAACAUUUA